AUUCAGAAAUCCCCGGCUUGUAUUAACCAGUAUUUGAUUCUCUUCUGUAAGUUGAAAGCUAUCACUUUCACAGCCCAAAUUCAACGAGCUUAUAUUCCAAAACCAUGCUAUAAAACAAAAAAAUGCGUCACUCUUCGUGAUGGUAUAUGAGGUAAUCCGCGUGAUGAGAGAAAAAAAAUUCUGGAAGUUUAGCUCGUUAGAUUCGAGAACAACAAAAUGAUUUUGCUGAGUAGGAAAGCAUGUUUCUGUUACCAUUUUCCGUGGCGGCCGGGAUUGGACGGCGGGUCAAGGGAGCCGAUCAAAUCUUCCUUGUUUGCUUGCGUGGUGAUCUUGGUAGAGGUAGCAGUCUCCUGAGAUUUGGUCCCCGGAUGAUUCACUCGGGUCCCUCCCUUCGCUUUAGAACUUUUCACAGGGGAUCAAAGAUUUAUGCCCCCCACCUCGUGUCGACGACUUUCGGCCUUGCGUUUGUCAUCUACUGAGUAGCAGCAUCUCGCAAGCGAUUGCUUAGUCUUCGUUAGUCGGUCUGUUCACCUGACGAAUGCGAAUUAGUAACUGCACAAGACGUACCUUGACACCGACAGUUCACUGUGCCGCUACGAGGUCAACACCUUGGAACUUCAUACCUCUCGGAGCUCUCCUGGUAUAAAUACUUGACACUUCCUUCCACUCGAGAUCAGUAUCUUAAAGCUCCUUGGUUGUCUCCGCCCCUCUUCUCGGAAAAGUUGGCAGCUCCUGUCCUGAAGCAAGCUCGUCCCUUGUUUGGUCACAAUAGCG
rnacentral:lncRNA from 1 species